CGGAGACCUGUGUAUUGGAACGGAGUGGAAUUUGAAACGUUUUGGCCAAAAAUGUAGCCAUGGCAAAGGGGUUUUUUGCAGAAACGUUUCAGAUUUCGCUCCGUUCUCCGGCUUCGGAAAAAACC
rnacentral:precursor_RNA from 8 species